UACGUAGGGCGCGAGCGUUGUCCGGAAUUAUUGGGCGUAAAGAGCUCGUAGGCGGCUUGUCGCGUCGGUUGUGAAAGCCCGGGGCUUAACCCCGGGUCUGCAGUCGAUACGGGCAGACUAGAGUGUGGUAGGGGAGAUCGGAAUUCCUGGUGUAGCGGUGAAAUGCGCAGAUAUCAGGAGGAACACCGGUGGCGAAGGCGGAUCUCUGGGCCAUUACUGACGCUGAGGAGCGAAAGCGUGGGGAGCGAACAGG
rnacentral:rRNA from 1 species